rnacentral:rRNA from 1 species
GAUGAACGCUGGCGGCGUGCCUAAUACAUGCAAGUCGAGCGAAUGGAUUGAGAGCUUGCUCUUAUGAAGUUAGCGGCGGACGGGUGAGUAACACGUGGGUAACCUGCCCAUAAGACUGGGAUAACUCCGGGAAACCGGGGCUAAUACCGGAUAACAUUUUGAACCGCAUGGUUCGAAAUUGAAAGGCGGCUUCGGCUGUCACUUAUGGAUGGACCCGCGUCGCAUUAGCUAGUUGGUGAGGUAACGGCUCACCAAGGCAACGAUGCGUAGCCGACCUGAGAGGGUGAUCGGCCACACUGGGACUGAGACACGGCCCAGACUCCUACGGGAGGCAGCAGUAGGGAAUCUUCCGCAAUGGACGAAAGUCUGACGGAGCAACGCCGCGUGAGUGAUGAAGGCUUUCAGGUCGUAAAACUCUGUUGUUAGGGAAGAACAAGUGCUAGUUGAAUAAGCUGGCGCCUUGACGGUACCUAACCAGAAAGCCACGGCUAACUACGUGCCAGCCGCCGCGGUAA